CUACGGGCGGCAGCAGUGGGGGAUAUUGCACAAUGGGCGAAAGCCUGAUGCAGCAACGCCGCGUGAAGGAAGACGGAUUUCGGUCUGUAAACUUCUAUCAGCUGGGAAGAUAAUGACGGUACCAGACUAAGAAGCCCCGGCUAACUACGUGCCAGCAGCCGCGGUAAUACGUAGGGGGCAAGCGUUAUCCGGAUUUACUGGGUGUAAAGGGUACGUAGGCGGUUUGUUAAGUCAGAUGUGAAAAUCCGGGGCUCAACCUCGGAACUGCAUUUGAAACUGGCAAACUAGAGUGCAGGAGAGGAAAGCGGAAUUCCUAGUGUAGCGGUGAAAUGCGUAGAUAUUAGGAAGAACACCAGUGGCGAAGGCGGCUUUCUGGACUGUAACUGACGCUGAGGUACGAAAGCGUGGGGAGCGAACAGGAUUAGAUACCCGCGUAGUC
rnacentral:rRNA from 1 species